rnacentral:rRNA from 1 species
GCAGACACAGGGAUUGCCUCAGUAACGGCGAGUGAAGCGGCAAGAGCUCAACUUUGGAAUCGCUCCGGCGAGUUGUAGUCUGGAGGUGGCCACCACGAGGUGUUCUAGCAGCAGGCAAGUCCUUUGGAACAAGGCGCCAGCGAGGGUGACAGCCCCGUACCUGCUUUUGCUAGUGCUUCCUGUGGCCCACCGACGAGUCGAGUUGUUUGGGAAUGCAGCUCUAAGUGGGUGGUAAAUUCCAUCUAAGGCUAAAUAUUGGCGAGAGACCGAUAGCGAACAAGUACAGUGAUGGAAAGAUGAAAAGCACUUUGAAAAGAGAGUGAAACAGUACGUGAAAUUGUUGAAAGGGAAGGGCUUGCACCCAGACACGGUUUCGGCCGGGCCAGCAUCAAGUAGAACGGGGUUAAAAGACCUGGGGAAUGUAGCUACCUCUUGGUAGUGUUAUAGCCCUUGGGUGAUGACCCCUGUUUUGCUUGAGGACAGCGGUCUCUAGGAUGCUGGCGCAAUGGUUGCAAGCCACCCGUCUUGAAACACGGACCAAGGAGUCUAACGUCUAUGCGAGUGUACGGGUGAAAAACCCCUGCGCGGAAUGAAAGUAAGAGGUUGGAACCCUCUCGGGGGUGCACAAUCGACCGACCCAGAAGUGCUCGGACGGGUUUGAGUAGGAGCAUAGCUGUUGGGACCCGAAAGAUGGUGAACUAUACCUGAAUAGGGUGAAGCCAGAGGAAACUCUGGUGGAGGCUCGUAGCGGUUCUGACGUGCAAAUCGAUCGUCGAAUUUGGGUAUAGGGGCGAAAGACUAAUCGAACCAUCUAGUAGCUGGUUCCUGCCGAGU